UUUAAUGUCUUCGUUCAACCCAUUAACAAAUCGUUUACACAUGAUAGCUUCCAUCGAAACACAUUCUCUUGCAAAUUUACCCAACCACACAAACUCACGUUCAUACUCUGUCACGGUCAUACGAUCUUGUUUCAGCUCAAGGAACUCUUUCAGUUUUUGGUCAAUAAAUCUUUGGCUAAUAUAUUUCUUUUUGAACUCUAUCUGAAAGAACUCCCAAGUAACCCGUUCCAUCAGAAUCACUGAUAUUAAUGUAUUCC
rnacentral:lncRNA from 1 species